AGUGAACGCUGGCGGUAGGCCUAACACAUGCAAGUCGAACGGCAGCACAGUAAGAGCUUGCUCUUACGGGUGGCGAGUGGCGGACGGGUGAGGAAUACAUCGGAAUCUACUUUUUCGUGGGGGAUAACGUAGGGAAACUUACGCUAAUACCGCAUACGACCUACGGGUGAAAGCAGGGGAUCUUCGGACCUUGCGCGAUUGAAUGAGCCGAUGUCGGAUUAGCUAGUUGGCGGGGUAAAGGCCCACCAAGGCGACGAUCCGUAGCUGGUCUGAGAGGAUGAUCAGCCACACUGGAACUGAGACACGGUCCAGACUCCUACGGGAGGCAGCAGUGGGGAAUAUUGGACAAUGGGCGCAAGCCUGAUCCAGCAAUACCGCGUGGGUGAAGAAGGCCUUCGGGUUGUAAAGCCCUUUUGUUGGGAAAGAAAAGCAGCAGGUUAAUACCCUGCUGUUCUGACGGUACCCAAAGAAUAAGCACCGGCUAACUUCGUG
rnacentral:rRNA from 1 species